AGAAAAGCAGGGGAUCGUAAGACCUUGNCGCUCUUGGAGCGGCCGAUGUCUGAUUAGCUAGUUGGUGAGGUAAAGGCUUACCAAGGCUUCGAUCAGUAGCUGGUCUGAGAGGACGACCAGCCACACUGGGACUGAGACACGGCCCAGACUCCUACGGGAGGCAGCAGUGGGGAAUUUUGGACAAUGGGGGAAACCCUGUAUCCAGCCAUGCCGCGUGAGUGAAGAAGGCCUUCGGGUUGUAAAGCUCUUUCAGCCGGAACGAAAAGGUUACGGUUAAUACCCGUGACUAAUGACGGUACCGGAAGAAGAAGCACCGGCUAACUACGUGCCAGCAGCCGCGGUAAUACGUAGGGUGCGAGCGUUAAUCGGAAUUACUGGGCGUAAAGCGUGCGCAGGCGGUUUUGUAAGUCAGAUGUGAAAUCCCCGGGCUCAACCUGGGAACUGCGUUUGAAACUACAAAGCU
rnacentral:rRNA from 1 species